UAGUAUGGCUACAUUAUUUUCUUUUAAGAUGCUCUUUUCUGUGUUUUUCUUUUGAAGUAGCGUUUUUAAAAAGCAUCUCUGCAGAACAAUUUGACAAGCCACAAAGGUCAGGCUUUGAUUCAAAAUUCAGCAUCUGUCUUGAUACCAGAGCUGUGCUACUGUCAGUGUUGGUUUUUUUCCUUCCAGUUGCCUGGAUAAUUUAAGUAGUAGCUGUGAACUGGUAUCGCGUCUACCAGGUCGUAAAUGAAAACUGCUGAAGAGGCUUUGCAGGUAAAAGCAUCUCUUGGCAGCCGUGCUUGUGUGCAGGCGAUCCCCACUCCUGAGAGAGCUCUUUCGCUGAACAAACCCUGGAAGAGGAUCUGAACAUGGAGUGCUCCUAGACGCUGGGCAGGCUGGAUUCAGGACCAAUUUAGGAUUUGAUUUCUGGACCUUGGUGUAUGUUGUAUUAGCGUUGGUAUUUCCAGACAUCCCUGCCCACUGGUGGUACUGCAAGCGCCAUCCAGGUCCUCUGGUUUGCAAGGACGCUGUUGGCUAUUGGAAGUUCAGGACUGAUUUACUAAUUUGCAGGAAGGACCCUUGGAUACACCCCGGAUUUACUCUGAAGUCAGUAUUGAAACCAUUGCUGGACUUAAUUUAAUUUGAACCCUGAUUGUAUCGUUUAUAGCUAUAGAUGAUAAACUAUGGUGACACACACUGAUAAACUAAA